UGGGGAAUUUUGGACAAUGGGCGAAAGCCUGAUCCAGCAAUGCCGCGUGUGUGAAGAAGGCCUUCGGGUUGUAAAGCACUUUUGUCCGGAAAGAAAUCCUUGGCUCUAAUACAGUCGGGGGAUGACGGUACCGGAAGAAUAAGCACCGGCUAACUACGUGCCAGCAGCCGCGGUAAUACGUAGGGCGCAAGCGUUAAUCGGAAUUACUGGGCGUAAAGCGUGCGCAGGCGGUUUGCUAAGACCGAUGUGAAAUCCCCGGGCUCAACCUGGGAACUGCAUUGGUGACUGGCAGGCUAGAGUAUGGCAGAGGGGGGUAGAAUUCCACGUGUAGCAGUGAAAUGCGUAGAGAUGUGGAGGAAUACCGAUGGCGAAGGCAGCCCCCUGGGCCAAUACUGACGCUCAUGCACGAAAGCGUGGGGAGCAAACAGGAUUAGAUACCCUGGUAGUCCACGCCCUAAACGAUGUCAACUAGUUGUUGGGGAUUCAUUUCCUUAGUAACGUAGCUAACGCGUGAAGUUGACCGCCUGGGGAGUACGGUCGCAAGAUUAAAACUUAAAUGAAUUGACGGGGUCAUAGCUG
rnacentral:rRNA from 1 species